AGAGGAUGGGCCAGAUAUUAUUGGGCUUCCAAAAGAGGCCUGAGGUGGGCCCACGUGACAGUCUCACAGCCCACUCCCCUCAACUCCGCUCUUCCCAAAUGGGCCCAGGCCCAAGCCUGGGUAUAAAAGCAGAGCUCUCGCCAUCUUCUGGCGCAAGCCUCACUCUCCUCCUCCCCGCUUCGGAUUCCACCGUCGCGGAGCUCGGCGCGGGCGGAGAUGGAGGGCGACGCCGCCGGAGCCGGUGGCGGCGACCGGUCGAGCAUCGUGAUCGGCCUCAUCGAGAACCGAGCCAAGGAGGUUGGUGUUGCUGCUUUUGAUUUGAGAUCAGCCUCACUGCAUCUUUCUCAGUAUAUUGAGACCAGUUGCUCAUAUCACAAUACGAAGACACUUCUGCAUUUCUAUGAUCCUAUGGUUGCAAUAGUGCCCCCAAACAAAACAGCAGCAGACGGUAUGGUUGGAGUUUCAGAGCUGGUUGGUAAACAUUUGCCAACAAAUAAAAAGAUAACAAUGGCACGUGGCUGCUUUGAUGACACAAAGGGUGCUGUUAUGGUAAAAAAUCUUUCAGCUAGAGACCCAUCUGCACUCGGUUUAGAUACUUAUUGCAAGCAAUACUAUCUUUGUCUUGCUGCUGCCUCUGCAACAAUUAAGUGGAUUGAAUCAGAAAGAGGUGUAAUUAUCACUAAUCACUCAUUAUCAGUUACAUUCAAUGGGUCAUUUGACCACAUGAACAUUGACUCAACUAGUGUACAAACAUUGGAAAUUAUUGACCCUCUUCAUACUGAACUGUGGGGAACUAGCAACAAAAAGAAAAGUCUCUUUCAGAUGUUGAAGACUACAAAGACUACAGGAGGGACUAGACUACUGAGAGCCAACUUGUUGCAACCGUUAAAAGACAUUCAAACAAUCAAUACUCGUCUGGAUUGCUUGGAUGAGCUAAUGAGUAAUGAGGAAUUAUUCUUUGGCUUGACACAAGGUCUUCGUAAGUUUCCAAAAGAAUCAGAUAAAGUUCUUUGCCACUUCUGCUUCAAACCCAAAAAGGAUACUGAUGAAGUGCUAAAGCCUGCCAAUGGUAGAAAGAGCCAAGGGCUGAUUUCUGACAUUAUUGUUCUAAAAACAGCUCUGGAUGCCAUACCAUUCCUCUCCAAGGUUCUAAGGGGUGCAAAAAGUUUCCUUCUUCGCAACAUUUAUCAGACUAUAUGUGAAAACCCAAAGUAUGCAAGCAUGAGAAAGAGAAUUGGGGAUGUCAUUGAUGAAGAUGUUGUUCAUUCAAGGGCUCCUUUUGUAACCUGCACUCAACAAUGUUUUGCUAUUAAGGCUGGAAUUGAUGGACUGCUUGAUGUUGCUCGUAGAUCUUUCUGUGAUACCAGCGAAGCCAUACAUAACCUUGCCAACAAGUACAGGGAGGAUUUUAAGCUUCCAAAUUUGAAGAUACCAUAUAACAACAGACUAGGAUUUUAUUUUAUUGUACCCCAGAAGGACAUUACUGAAAGGCUCCCUAAUAAAUUUAUCCAGGUAGUUAGACAUGGGAAGAAUGUCCACUGCUCAAGCUUGGAGCUUGCUUCGCUAAAUGCCAGGAAUAAGUCUGCUGCUGCUGAGUGCUUCUUGCGCACGGAACUUUGUUUGGAAGGGCUUAUUAAUGAGAUCAGAGAAGACAUUGGUAUAUUAACGUUGCUUGCCGAAGUAUUAUGCCUGUUGGACAUGCUUGUAAAUUCUUUUGCGUUUACAAUAUCUACUAAGCCCGUUGAUCGUUACACGAGACCUGAAUUCACUGAUGAUGGUCCGAUGGCAAUUAAUGCUGGAAGGCAUCCUAUUCUUGAGAGCUUGCAUAAUGAUUUUGUUCCUAACAAUCUCUUUCUGUCUGAAGCAUCUAAUAUGGUUCUUGUCAUGGGGCCAAACAUGAGUGGGAAGAGCACAUAUCUUCAACAGAUUUGUCUAAUAGUCAUUCUUGCACAAAUUGGCUGUUAUGUUCCAGCUCAAUUUGCAUCACUAAGAGUGGUUGAUCGCGUAUUCACACGGAUUGGCACUGGGGACAAUGUUGAAAAUAACUCAAGCACAGUAUGCAAAUUCAUCUCUUCUAUAUGGUUUAUACUUAUGUUAUCUUGUUAUUUGACUUACAGAAUUCUUCUAAAAGCACGUGAAACAAUAAAAUGAUUAGAUAAAGCAUUCAACUGUUACUGUUGAUAGUCCUCAAGUAAUAUUUAUCCCCUGAGUACCAUUCUUUAGGCUUGUUUCCUCCCAGAUUAAUUCCUAUUUAUUAUCUUAAAUCUCCUGAUGCACAUUAUCUCUAUUGUGCUCAAACCUAUCAAAUUUAAGAUGUUUUCUUGUCCAUAUGAAGUAUAAAUGGUCAUUUGCAUUGUCCUGUUCCAGUAGUUGGUGUUUUUGGAUUCCUUGGUGGAUUUCCUUAAUAUAGCAUUAGAUAUGGAGGGUCUUAACUCCUAAGAUCGGUACCUGUUUGUCAUAUUUAUGGAUGACUCUACAUGAAGAAGCGCGUUGAAGUAGUGGAUUAACCAUCUUAUCUAGGAUCGCGAGAGCCCAUACUAUACCAUUUCUUGUUCAUGACAGAAAUGAAAGAGACAGCUUUCAUUAUGCAGAAUGUUUCUUCGAAGUACUAUGGGUCUACCAUGCUGCAAUAGAUUGGAUUGCUGUUUCUCUUGUUUCCUUGUAAUGACCAUGUGCACAUUUGCACACAUUACAGGAGCCUGAUUGUUGUGGAUGAGCUUGGAAGAGCUACGUCUUCCUCUGAUGGGUUGGCAAUUGCAUGGAGCUGCUGUGAAUAUCUAUUAUCUACCAAAGCCUACACGGUGUUUGCCACGCACAUGGAGAGCUUGUCAGAACUUGCAACCAU